rnacentral:tRNA from 1 species
GCGGACGUGGCGAAAUUGGUAGACGCACCAGAUUUAGGUUUUGGCGCCGAGAGGUGUGAGAGUUCGAGUCUCUCCGUCCGCACCA